CCUACGGGUGGCAGCAGUGAGGAAUAUUGGUCAAUGGGCGAGAGUCUGAACCAGCCAAGUAGCGUGAAGGAUGACUGCCCUAUGGGUUGUAAACUUCUUUUAUAUGGGAAUAAAAUGUUCCACGUGUGGGAUUUUGUAUGUACCAUAUGAAUAAGGAUCGGCUAACUCCGGUCCAGCAGCCGCGGUAAUACGGAGGAUCCGAGCGUUAUCCGGAUUUAUUGGGUUUAAAGGGAGCGUAGGUGGAUUGUUAAGGCAGUUGUGAAAGUUUGCGGCUGAACCGUAAAAUUGCAGUUGAAACUGGCAGUCUUGAGUACAGUAGAGGUGGGCGGAAUUCGUGGUGUAGCGGUGAAAUGCUUAGAUAUCACGAAGAACUCCGAUUGCGAAGGCAGUUCACUGGACUGCAACUGACACUGAGGCUCGAAAGUGUGGGUAUCAAACAGGAUUAGAUACCCCUGUAGUC
rnacentral:rRNA from 1 species